ACACGUUGAGCCUUCGGGCUGCAGUUCGUUUCACACCAAGCAACGGGGGUGUGAA
ncrna:Synechococcus sp. WH 7803 Glutamine-II riboswitch (downstream peptide RNA)